rnacentral:rRNA from 1 species
UACGUAGGGUGCAGGCGUUAAUCGGAAUUACUGGGCGUAAAGCGCGUGUAGGCGGCUCGGAAAGUCGGGUGUGAAAGCCCUGGGCUUAACCCAGGAAGUGCACUCGAAACUUCCGAGCUGGAGUCCUGGAGAGGAAGGCGGAAUUCUCGGUGUAGAGGUGAAAUUCGUAGAUAUCGAGAGGAACACCGGUGGCGAAGGCGGCCUUCUGGACAGUGACUGACGCUGAGACGCGAAAGCGUGGGGAGCAAACAGG